UCGCCCCCGAGCAGCCCUCCAGGACUGCCUCGAGCACCCGUGUGCCCGCUCCGUACGGUCACUGUCUUGGCGCCACUCCGUAGUCCGGAGUCUCGACUCUUCCUGCCUCCGCCCGCCGUCCUCGGACCCAGCCCCCGGCGCAGAGCUUUGAAGACUAGCGGUAGAGGUGUCCCUGGCCAGACGGCGGGGGAGGGCAGCAGAGGACAGCCUAUCCUUUCCUGUCGGCGUCCCAGGCCUUUCAGCAUUUACUUCUACUCUCACACACCCGGCUUCAGUGCUCCAGAAAUGUGUUCUGCCCUUCCACACCGGGCUCUCUGGAGGCCCCACCUGGACUAUGCUCUCUUCUACUCCCACUCAGUCUGCAGGGUCCCAGCCCUUUCGAGCCCUCUUGCAGGAAACCAGAUGGUGCAAUGCCAGGCGGUAUCUCCUGCUAAUUCCUAACCCUGACUACCAGCUCGUGAAGACAGCUAUACGUGAAGGGCCUGGUACAGGAACUGCGUAUAGAAGACGCACCCCUCCCUCGAUUUUUUAAAUUAAGAAUUAUUUGUAAAAAUAUAUAUACAUAUAUAAUUCUGAGGCCCCAAACCAAAAGAACUAUAAUGAAGAACCAAACAAAACAAACCGACUUAUGUUCUUGGGGUAGGACCAAGGCAGUGGGACAGCUGCUAGGGCUGGCCCACCAGCACCAGCGGGGUGUCAUCCGCUUUGCAAAGGAAGGAGUAGCCCUGCGCUGGCUUCCCGCCCUGGUCACGGCGCAAGCUUCUGGAGCAGUCUACCGGAACUGGCUGUUCCUCUCAGCAGGAAAUGAGUGCGGAACUGGAACUCUUGCGUACUCUAGUCUAAAAGCAGUUGAUAAAUUCAUUAGAGUGUAAGGAUUCAAAGACAAAAACAGAUACGGUCUUCCCCCCAGGGUCGGAUGAUUAAAGGCACCGCUGGGAUUCGAACCCAGGAUCUCCUGUUUACUAGACAGGCGCUUUAACCAACUAAGCCACGGCGCCGAAGGCACCAGAGGGACUUCUGAAGGGAUAUACACAACUAUACCGCCGGGAGGUUGGUCACAACUUAGAUUUUUCUAAAAUUAAUUUUGACAAAUCAUUAUGUUUGAUGUCAAACGUCCAUUCAAGAGCUGCCCCGGAUAUUGAAAGAUGUAAAUGAAAGACCUCAACCCUAGCUAGAUGUGCGUGGUUGGAGGAUGUCUGCGGCACCGAUCGGAUUAAUCCUCCGUGAGAUCUAGGACAGAAAGAAUGCAGUUAGUAGUGCGCGUCGGAGAAGGAAAAGGACGCGUAGUCGGCAGGAUUCGAACCUGCGCGGGGAGACCCCAAUGGAUUUCUAGUCCAUCGCCUUAACCACUCGGCCACGACUACAUGCUUGUAUUUAAACUUCUCGCUCUAAGCCUUAGUCUCCAUGCUCCGCAAACACCAUCCCUCCUACAAUUUCGCGCUUCCAGGGUUAGGAGACCGUUCAGCGAGAACACCAGAGGACAGAAUUGUAAUCGACCUUCCCCUCGCGGCCCCGCCCCAUCUUUCUGGGAUCCUUGUCCCGGCAUCUUCCCCAUUCUCUCGCCAGCCUCCAACAGUGCGCUCCCAGGGAAGAGUAGACGUGGCGGCCGCUCCCAGCCCAGAGAGCGCCCUUCCAAGCGGUGGAGUGAGCGACCAACUCAGGUUUUGAAAAGUAGUGGGUUCGCUGUCGUUUGUGAUUGGGAAAGAAACUAGCUCCAGUCGGAAACUUCCGGCUACGGGAGGGAAUAAAAGUAACCCCACUGGCCCGUACGGGGAUCGAACCCGCGACCUUGGCGUUAUUAGCACCACGCUCUAACCAACUGAGCUAACCGGCCAGAUGCUAAGGUUCUUAUCUUCGAAUCUUCACAUAUGUAUCGCUGAAGUAGAGACAAAUCCAUUUUCAAGUCCUCAAAAACCUUGGUGUGUGGCAGCAGCCAUGAUCCAAAGACCUCUCAAAUACGAACUAAAAGAGAUCCCUAAUGCAAAGGAAGGAACGUGCUCUGUACAGCGCUUGGAGGUGUGGCUAGGCCUUACCCCUGUAUCUAGCAAGCAGCUCCCAGGAAAGAAACGACAGAACACCAGCCAAAUGCAUGAGCAUCUCCAAAUAACUGCUCCUGCAACCCCUAAUUCUGUAGGUUCUGACUAGGAACUCCUGCCAGUCUCAUGGCGUUGAUCAAGUAUCUGCCUUAGGCCUGACCCACAGGACACCCACAGCACUGACCCCUUGACUGGGGUUCCACAUUACGAGUUCCUCCCACGCCCCUCCUAAUGCUUGGUGCUUCCCUCUCUCCAUAACCACCUUAUAUCAAUACUUAGCAACAACUCCAGGCUUGACUUCUUCCUGGGCCCAACCUUGCUGACUGAGGCCAUCAUAGCAAUGUUGUCUACCCUGCACCCCACACCCCAAUUUACUCCCUUUAGGGCCUGACUUGACUGGACCAGAAGCUCUUCUCCAAACCAGUUUUGGCACUGGUGGCAAA